ensembl:lncRNA
UUUUUGGGGUCCAAUCCCCAUUUUUGGGUCUCUCUCCCCAUUUUUGGGGUCCAAUCCCCAUUUUCGGGUCUCUCUCCCCAUUUUUGGGUCUCUCUCCCUGUUUUCGGGUCUCUCUCCCCAUUUUUGGGGUCCAAUCCCUGUUUUUGGGUCUCUCUCCCCGUUUUUGGGUCUCUCUCCCCAUUUUUGGGGUACAAUCCCCAUUUUUGGGUUGCUCUCCCCGUUUUUGGGGUACAAUUCCAGUUUUUGGGGUCCAGUGCCCGUUUUUUGGUCUCUCUCCCCGUUUUUGGGGUCCAAUCCCCAUUUUUGGGGUACAAUCCCCAUUUUUUGGGUCUCUCUCCCUGUUUUUGGGGUACAAUCCCCGUUUUUUGGGUCUCUCUCCCCAUUUUGGGGGUACAAUCCCCAUUUUUGGGGUACAAUCCCCAUUUUUGGGGUGCAGUGCCCGUUUUUGGUCUCUCUCCCUGUUUUUGGGGUACACUCCUGGAUUUUGUGAUACAAUCCCCGUUUUUGGGGUCUCUCUCCCCAUUUUUGGGUCUCUCUCCCCGUUUUUGGGGUCCAAUCCCCAUUUUUGGGGCUCUCUCCCCGUUUUCGGGUCUCUGUCCCCAUUUUUGGGGUCCAGUGCCCGUUUUUGGGGUCCAAUCCCCGUUUUUGGGUCUCUCUCCCCGUUUUUGGGGUACAAUCCCCAUUUUUGGGGUCCAAUCCCCAUUUUUGGGGUACAAUCCCCGUUUUUGGGGUCUCUCUCCCCGUUUUUGGGGUCCAAUCCCCGUUUUUGGGGUAUAAUCCCCGUUUUUGGGUCUCUCUCCCCGUUUUUGGGGUACAAUCCCCAUUUUUGGGGCUCUCUCCCCGUUUUUCAGGUCUCUCUCCCCAUUUUUGGGGUCCAAUCCCAAUUUUUGGGGUACAAUCCCCGUUUUCGGGUCUCUCUCCCCGUUUUUGGGGUCUCUCUCCCCGUUUUUGGGGUACAAUCCUGGAUUUUGUGAUACAAUCCCCAUUUUGGGGUACAAUCCCCGUUUUUGGGGUCUCUCUCCCCGUUUUUGGGGUCUCUCUCCCCGUUUUUGGGCUCUCCCCGCUGCCGGGGCGCGCUCCCAGCCCGUUCCUCCCCCAGCUGGGGGUCUCGGUGCCCCCCCAGGCUCUGCGCCUGCCCCCGGAGCCCAUCCGGCGCUGGGGCCGCUUCUGGUGCGACGUCACGGUGAGGGCGGGGCCUGGGCUGGCCUUCCCCACCCCUUCCCCUCCCCUUCCCCUCCUCAUUUCCUUCCCCUCCAUUUCCUCUCAUUUCCUUCCCCUCCCCUUUCCCCUCCCCUUUUCCUUCCCCUCCCCCAUUUCCUCUCAUUUCCUUCCCCUCCCCCAUUUCCACCUCCUUUCCCCCUCAUUUCCUUCUCAUUUCCUUCCUCGUCUUCCAUUUCCUCUCAUUUCCACCUCAUUUUCUUCCUCUUCCAACAUUUCUUGUCAUUUCCUUCCCCUCUCCCAUUUCCACCUCAUUUCCAUCUCAUUUCCUUCCCCUUCCUCCAUUUCCACCUCAUUUCCUUCCUCUUCCCCCAUUUCCCCCUCAUUUCCUCUCAUUUCCUUCCCCUCCCCUUUUCCCCUCAUUUCCCCUCCUUCCCCCUCAUUUCCUUCCUCUUCCCCCCAUUUCCACUUAAUUUCCUUCCUCCUCCUCCAUUUCCUCUCAUUUCCUCUCAUUUCCUUCUCAUUUCCUUCCCCUUCCUCCAUUUCCACCUCAUUUCCUUCCUCUUCCCCCAUUUCCCCCUCAUUUCCUCUCAUUUCCUUCCCCUCCCAUAUUUCCUCUCAUUUCCCCCUCAUUUCCACCUCGUUUCCUUCCUCCUCCCCCCAUUUCUGCCUCAUUUCCACCUCAUUUCCUUCCUCUUCCUCCAUUUCCUCUCAUUUUCCCCUCAUUUCCUUCCCCUUCCCCUUUUCCUUUUCAUUUCCUUCCUCUUUCCCCCCAUCUCCUCCCCAUUUCCCCUCAUUUCCUCACAUUUCCCCUCAUUUCCUUCCUCUUCCCAAUUUCCCCCCAUUUUCUCUCACUUCCCCCCAUUUCCCCCCCAUUUCCUUCCUCCUCCCCCAUUUUCUCUCAUUUCCCCCAU